rnacentral:tRNA from 3 species
CGGAAUGUGGCACAGCUUGGCCUAGUGCGCCCCCUUCGGGAGGGGGAGAUCGCAGGUUCAAAUCCUGCCAUUCCGAC